GUGCUCCCUUUGGCAGCACAUGUACUAAAAUUGGAACAAUACAGAGAGGAUUAGCAUGGUCCCUGGCAAGGAUGACAUGAAAAUUCGUGAAGCAUUCUUUUUUUUU
ensembl:snRNA U6 U6 spliceosomal RNA